CUGAGUAUAGUGUCCACAUACUUUACCAGCUUGACAAGUAUUUGAAUUAUAAUUGUACCAUUGCUUCUCAUCUACCCACAUCUUCACAGCACCAGCCGCGUUGAGCUGGGGGAAACCGGCAGCUAGGUUUUCACCGUAAGGGCCACCAGAGUGUUGCAUCCUACAGUCCCCAAUUCUUUGAUUGGCAUAAUUUUGGGCAAAGGCUGCUAGCCUAUUGUCCCAUGUCAUAGGACCGACACCAACUUGUCUACGAGCUGCAUUGUGAGGGUUAAGAUAAUCUUGGGGAAAGUUUUGAGCUUUUGAUGAGUGAAAUAAUAAAGCAAAGAUAAGGAAACAAAUGAUUAAGGCAAUAUUGGAGUAUCCCAUUUUGUGUUUUGGU